CCCUUAGAUGUUCUGGGCUGCACGCGUGCUACACUGAUUAUUUCAACAAGUGUUUUAACUGGAGAGUUCGCGUAAUCCUGAAAUGUUAUUGUGAUGGGAGUAGAGUAUUGUAUUUGUUAAUCUUUAACGAGGAAUUCCUAGCAAGUGUAGGUUUAUAAGUUGUUCUGAUUACGUCCCUGCCCUUUGUACACACCGCCCGUCGCUCCUACCGAUUGAUUGAUCCGGUGAAUUACAUAGAAUUUUGCGUUUUACAUGACGGAAGACGAAGUGUUUUAAACCUUAUCAUUUAGAGGAAGGAGAAGUCGUAACA
rnacentral:rRNA from 1 species